UAACCUGCCCAAGAGAUCGGGAUAACACCUGGAAACAGAUGCUAAUACCGGAUAACAACAGAUGAUGCCUAUCAACUGUUUAAAAGAUGGUUCUGCUAUCACUCUUGGAUGGACCUGCGGUGCAUUAGCUAGUUGGUAGGGUAACGGCCUACCAAGGCGAUGAUGCAUAGCCGAGUUGAGAGACUGAUCGGCCACAUUGGGACUGAGACACGGCCCAAACUCCUACGGGAGGCAGCAUCA
rnacentral:rRNA from 1 species